rnacentral:rRNA from 1 species
ACGUAUCCAACCUACCCUUUACUCGGGGAUAGCCUUUCGAAAGAAAGAUUAAUACCCGAUAGCAUAAUGAUUCCGCAUGGUUUCAUUAUUAAAGGAUUCCGGUAAAGGAUGGGGAUGCGUUCCAUUAGGUUGUUGGUGGGGUAACGGCCCACCAAGCCUUCGAUGGAUAGGGGUUCUGAGAGGAAGGUCCCCCACAUUGGAACUGAGACACGGUCCAAACUCCUACGGGAGGCAGCAUG